UUUUACUGACAAAUUGAGAUUUUUAUUAAAUAAUAAUAAAAUUAAAAGUACAACGGUUCUAUAACUCAAGUGGAUGCAAAGGAACACUGAUUUUUAAAUGGUUCUGUAAUUCGAAAUCAGCUCCAAGGGCAUUUUUAAUAGGAACUAAAUUUCUCCUAUUUAUAAAACGUACAAUUUCAAAACAUGAUUAAAAUCCAUAAUCAGUUUUUGUUGUGGAAUUUAGAAACCUCCAUAUUUUGGAUUUAAUUUUGAGAUUUUUAUUUACUAGAGACAUCCAGUUUACUUGCAGAAAUAUAUGAGUAAGCUAGGUUUCUAAAAAUGCUAGGGAUAAAAUCUACUUAAGAUGGAGGUAAAUUUCGCUGACCUCCCUUAAGGUUUCUGACAAAUACAGUCACCUCAUUUAUAGUUUUAGAAAUAGCAUUGACCCUCUUUUACUUUUGAAACUAAUUUUAAGAUUUCUCUAUAGAGCUAAUUUUUGUGCAAAAAUAACAAGAUUACCAUUUGAUUUGGGGCUUCUAAAGUCUUUGCUCAAUACAUCAAUUAAGAUAAAUAAAUAUUCUCUCUCUUUUUAAAAAAAAUGAUAAAACGUUAUUUCUUUUAAGUAUAUUUAAUUAGAAACACUUAAAAAGUAAAAUAUUUAUAUCAAUUUUUUAAAAAAUUAUUUAUAAGAAAGUUUUAUUGUUAAGUACAUUUUCAUUAGAAGUACUUAAAAAUUAACUAUUUAAAUUAUUUUUUUUAGAAAAUUACUUAAUGAUAAAAAGUAAAAAUGGAGUAGUUUAGCUACCAAGGCGUGCAUUGCUUCGGUAUAAGGCUCUGUUUGGUAAUACUUAAAAAUCAAGUUUUUUUAAGCUUGCUAUAAAAAAAGCAAGAUUUUUUAGUUUUUUUUUUUUUGCUUUUCUAGUUUUAUUUUAGCUAAAAAUAAAUAAAAAAUAAAAAAACCAACUCUGGCUGGUACCAAACGGUGCCUAAGUCUCCAUUUAUCCCGAUCUGGCUUUUCAGGCUUUCCCUACUUGUUCCUGCAUGCUCCAUAGGAAUCCAUUGUUUACAAAUAAAUAAUGUUUUGAAAAAAAAAAUUAUUUAUUAAAAUGCGUGUGUUGAGAAAAAGGUUUUAAAACCCUAAAUUAAAUGACAAAAAUACCACUAUCAUAACAUCUUCCAUUGGUUUUGCUUAUACAAAUCUAGUUUGAGAAUCAUUUUCCAAAUUAAACGAGAAAAGUGAUGUUGAUCGAUCACCCUCUUUGAAACCAACUUAAGGCUUAGUUUGGUUUAGUUUUUUUUUACAUUUUUAAGCUCAUUUGGUAUUCAACUUUUUUUUCUGUUUAAUCAAAAAAAAUAUUUUUUUGGUCGUUUUUAACGAAAAGAGUCUAAAAAUGUAAAGAUUUUCAUCUAAUUUGAAAAAAAAAAUUAUUUAGUGAAUUUUUUUCUAGAUUUGAAGAAAUUUUUUAUAUUUUCAUAUUUCUCGUGUCAAAAAAUAUAAAAUUUUGAUUAAACCAUAAAAAAACAUUCAUUAAACACGAAACAACUCAAAAACCAAUAACUAAAAAGUCUUAAAAAAAAACUAGUCCAAACAAACCUUAAUUUUCUACAGCACGAUUGCUACAUCAACAUUAGCCGGUGUAAGACUUUCGAGAAAAAGAAAAAGUCCAAGUAUUUUUUUUAUGAAAAUUCCACAUUCAAGAGGUUCACAUGCAGAAAGAGUUUUCUUUUCAAGAGAAUAUGGUUGUCAAUAGCUAGCAAGAACUGUUAACCAAUUCAAUUUCUAUUUAUGGAACGAGUACGAGUACAGUAAUGAUAUACAAAUAAAAAAUUUAUACAGAAUUUUAAUACAAAAUGUUAUGACACAGUAUCGACCUUUCAGUUUUUCACAAAAUACCUAUUAAGAUGAGUUUUAUUUACUAAAAUACCAUUGACUUACAUCAUUCUUGAAGUAUUUUAUAUAUGUAAUUAUGUAUUUUUUUGUAAGAAUAUAAUUUUCCUUAUGGAAGCAGGGACGGAGGCAGUAUAGGCCCAGGGUGGGCAGUUACCCCCUCAAGUUUGCUUUUUUUUUUUUAACUAUAGUUUUAGAAAAAAAUUUUCAAAUUUGCCCCUCCUCAAAAAUUAUAAAUGCCCUUCUAAUUUUUUUUUUUAAUGAUUGCUCCCUUUGAAUAUUUUUCCUGGUUCCGCCACUUAAUGGAAGCUAGAUUUUUCUUUGAAAAAAAACAAAAGACAAGAGAGGCCAGGUCAUAGUAGCCACCUUGGACCCCUUCAGCACUCAUUCCUGGCUCAAUUUUGACCCUUAUGGCCCGUUUGGCUGAAGGAUAUGGGAGGGGAUAACUUUUAGAGGGAGAAUAAAUUUUAAAGGAGGAUAAAAAGUUUUGGAGGGGGAUAACUUUUAAUUUUGUUUGGUACUUUUAAUGAAUGGGUGUAUACGGGUGUGAGUAAGGAGUAAAAUAUAUAUAGAGAAACAAAUGUAAAAUAUCUUGAUAUUAAAUUCAUAUAUUUUUAUUUUUUAUAUAUAUAU
rnacentral:lncRNA from 1 species